AUUGAACGCUGGCGGCAUGGCUAAACCAUGCAAGUCGAACGAUCCCUUCGGGGAGAGUGGCGAAAGGGCGAGGAAUAGAAUCGAAUGUACCCCAAGGUGGGGGAUAGCCUCUGGAAACGGAGGGUAAUACCCCAUGUGCUCUACGGAGGAAAGGUUUACCGCCUUGGGAGCAGCGAUUCUCCUAUCAGGUAGUUGGUGAGGUAACGGCUCACCAAGCCGAAGACGGGUAGCGGGUGUGAGAGCAUGACCCGCCGCAUCGGAACUGAGACACGGUCCAGACUCCUACGGGAGGCAGCAGUGGGGAAUAUUGCGCAAUGGGCGAAAGCCUGACGCAGCCACGCCGCGUGAGCGAUGAAGGCCUUCGGGUCGUAAAGCUCUGUGGGGGAGGAAGAAAAAGACCGGU
rnacentral:rRNA from 1 species